rnacentral:lncRNA from 1 species
GAAAUUUUGGAUCGCCGACUGUUGAGGCUCACUGUUGGCAAAUUCAGAGUGGUUAAUUUUCAAUUUUUGCAAUAUUAUUACCAAACAAAAUACUGCAGUUUUUCGUGUUUGAUUUUUGAAAGAAUAUUGCACCUAAAAAAUAGAUCAUUGUAUAAAAUAGGCGAAAUAAAAUUUGUACGUGUCGGUGAAAUGGAGUUUGAUGUCAAAGACUUCCUAUCGAGUAAGUUUACUUAAGUGCAUCUAGAACAUGUAAGUAUGUGAGUGCUACAACUAUUUUUGUGAAUCCAUGGCUUGAUGAAGAUGUCCUACCAAAGCUGCACCAGCUAUUAUUAUACAAACUUACGGCAAGGUAAAAUCUUUUGUUUAAAUUUUCACAAUUUCCUGUCCCUAUGAAGUGCAUAAUUUUUUAAUUAUUUGAAAAUUUUCUAAUUUCUAAUACACCU